AGCACAGUUCCAGAAUGUGAGAUCGCCAUGGUAAUGCUCUUCAUAACAUACUAGCUCAGGCUAAGAAUGGUACAGGGUUAAUUUUCUGCCACGUAAGCCUCCUGCUGUUGACAUGGAGAGCCUCGGAACACCUGAUUCGGGAGGUUAUAAAGACGAUUAGAAAUGUCUGCUGAUCCUGAACGUGAAGCAUGGCUUGAAGCUCCCAUCUCCCCUUUGGAGGCUUCUGACAUGGAACGUAUCUCAUUACAAGGACAGCUGUAGGGUUUUCUGCGGGAAUGUUGUGGUUCAUAGCUACCUCAGACUUUCCAAUGACGUUCCCUGGGUAGUCUUUGUCCUAACAAAGAAUAACAAAAUCUUGGGAGGAAAACCGUGUGUGGGAAUGCCCCGAUGAUGGAUGCUGUAAUCACGCAUAUGUCACCCAAGUCAACUUCCAUCCUGCCAUCAAGCUAAGAUUUGGUGCCUGUGGAAAUAUGAGGAGUAUCUGGAGCCACCUCCUCAAAAUCACCAUGCUUGUUUUGCCUCUGAGCAUAAUCUACAGAAAUGGCAAUGAAAGUGAGAGUAGAUGCAUACAGAGAAAAAGUUCUGGCCGGAGUUCCAGGUACCUUAGGUGGAAGCAGCUGGGUAAAUAGUGAUUUUGAGGCAUUAGCACAUCAUAUUUGUACAGCAAUGAGAGUUUUGAAAAACAUUCAUCCUUCACACUCAAAGUGAAGCCAGACAUAACAUUUACUGAAAAGCAUGAGUCGAAUACCGUGUUGUGGAUGCAUUCUGCCUCACCCAAAUUUCCAAAUGUUUGUUCUACUAUUCUUUACAAACAUCUCAAGGAAACUUCAAGUACUUUUCAGCUUGUUUAAUGUGAAUGAAAGUGAAUAUUCCUAUGUUCUGGUAUAAACAAAACCCGUCUUUCCAGCUAUUUGGCCUGGUGGAGGUAUAAAGGCGGGCUUUUUGUAUGCAUCAAAGCUGUGCACGGUGUCUCUGAUUUUAAAUAUUUCAUCCAAAAUGUAAUAUGACUAUGUUCAUUUAUUUUCUUUCUUAAAUGAGAGAAGUGUUUCCAUAAGACCUGCAAAACAAGACAUAAUUUGGGGACCCAAGGGCAGAUGAAGACUCAUUGCUCAUUCCUUUUUUCUCCACUUCCUGAAACAGACAGUUCUUCCUUUCUGACCCAAAACCUAUUCAUUGUGUCAUAACUAACUAAAAUGGCACCUUUCCUAAGAGUGCUUGUUCUUUGUGACUCCAGAACAUUCUAGCAGCCGUCACUGUGGAUAUCCCUCCCAACACAUCAGCGCUCCAAGCACAGCACAGUGGCAGCAUUUCAUGCCCCCCUGGAACCUGUGAGUCGGGUGUCACAUCAUCUUCACUUUUCAGAUGUGAAAGCUGGAGCUCAGAGGUCAGUCACCAGUCUACGUGUCAAGGCCAUACCAUAUCAGUAAGGGUGAAUAGCCAGGGCCUGUGGCCCCACUAUCCAGCUUCGGGGGGGUCCACUCUGAAACUCUCCUCAUUGCUCUGUCCCCCAUCGUAACCUCACUCCUGGAUUCCCUUAAGGCCUAUUCUUUUAUUGUCAACUAAACCAUGAAGCU